AUACCUUUCUCAAUCUUUUAGCUAAGAUCAAGUGUAAUAUCUAUUUUUAUCAGUGUAAUAUCUGAUAAUCUGAGUCUACGAGUUCAGGGGAUGAGCUUUUAUGUUUGCCAUGAUAUUAAUUUUUUUAAAGGGAAGGACCCAUG
rnacentral:snRNA from 1 species